GCUUUUGUGUGGAUUAUGCGUAUUUAUUUAUGUGCAAUGUUAGGUUAAAUUUUUUUGUGACAGUGUGUGGUAAAUAGGUUUUGUUAUGAUAUAUAUGAUGACAGGGAUUAGAUACCCCAUUAAUGUAUUUUGUAAAGUUGUUCUAGUUUUGUAACUAAAAUGGUUUGGCAGUGAGCGAUUCUUAUUAGGGGAAUAUGCAUAGUGAAGGAUGGUCCACCUAUUAGUUUACUCUUUUUAUGUUGGUGUAUGUCUGGUUUGA
rnacentral:rRNA from 1 species